UGCCGCCCUGUUAUCAAAAACAUAGCCUUAAGAUUAUAUUUAAGGUAAGCCCUGCCCAGUGGAAAUUCUAAACGGCCGCAGUACCCUGACUGUGCUAAGGUAGCGUAAUCAGUUGGCUUUUAAAUGGAGUCGAGAAUAAACGGGGCCAUGGGAAGAGACUGUCUCUUUUUUAAUUUAAUGAAUUUGCUAAAUAGGUGAAAAUACCUUUAAGUAGAAAAUAGACGAGAAGACCCUUAGAGCCUUUACAAUAAUUUAAUUAAUUGUUUUUGUUGGGGCGACAAGAAGACAUAUAACUCUUCUUAUAUUACUAAACGAUUUUUAUAUAUAUGAAUAGGCUACCUUAGGGAUAACAGCAUAAUUAUUUAUAGUUUGUGACCUCGAUGUUGGACUAGGAACUUGAUGACUAGCAGUCAAAAAAGGAAGUUCUGUUCGAACUUUUAAAUUCCUACAUGAUCUGAGUUCAAACCGGGAG
rnacentral:rRNA from 1 species